UACAGAGGGUGCAAGCGUUGUUCGGAACUUAUUGGGCGUAAAGGGCGCGUAGGCGGUGCGGUAAGUCUGUAGUGAAAUCUCUGGGCUCAACUCAGAGUCUGCUGCAGAAACUGCCGUGCUUGAAUGGGACAGAGGCCAGUGGAAUUAGAGGUGUAGCGGUGGAAUGCGUAGAUAUCUCUAAGAACACCAGUUGCGAAGGCGGCUGGCUGGGUCCACAUUGACGCUGAGGCUCGAAAGCGUGGGGAGCAAACAGG
rnacentral:rRNA from 1 species